GACGAACGCUGGCGGCGUGCUUAACACAUGCAAGUCGAACGGAAAGGCCCUGCUUUUGUGGGGUGCUCGAGUGGCGAACGGGUGAGUAACACGUGAGUAACCUGCCCUUGACUUUGGGAUAACUUCAGGAAACUGGGGCUAAUACCGGAUAGGAGCUCCUGCUGCAUGGGGGGGGUUGGAAAGUUUCGGCGGUUGGGGAUGGACUCGCGGCUUAUCAGCUUGUUGGUGGGGGAGUGGCUUACCAAGGCUUUGACGGGUAGCCGGCCUGAGAGGGUGACCGGCCACAUUGGGACUGAGGUACGGCCCAGACUGCUACGGGAGGCAGCAGUGGAGAAUAUUGCACAAUGGGCGGAAGCCUGAUGCAGCAACGCCGCGUGCGGGAUGACGGCCUUCGGGUUGUAAACAGCUUUCGCCUGUGACGAAGCGUGAGUGACGGUAAUGGGUAAAGAAGCACCGGCUAACUACGUG
rnacentral:rRNA from 1 species